UAAAAGAAAAACUUGAAAUUGCUCGUAGUUUUCAGGCAGAAGCUACAUGUCUACUUAUUUCUGUAACUUUGAGAAAACUUAGCUACUUUUUUUUCUCCAGAUCAUGGUAAACCUGGUUUAAACUUCUAUCCAUUACAACUUUUUUUGAAAGUCACCUAUUUUUGAAUGAAUGUAAUAUUACAUCGAAAUGUGUAAUUUAUUAGAAAUGUUUCAUUACAGUCAAAAAAGGCGAAGAGUGAUUCCCAAAAAAAGACUGCAAGACGAGCAACAUCCAAUGUCUUUGCUAUGUUCGAACAAAAUCAAAUAGCCGAGUUCAAAGAGGCUUUCCAGAUGAUUGAUUCUAAUAAAGAUGGUCUUAU